rnacentral:rRNA from 1 species
UACGUAGGGUGCGAGCGUUAAUCGGAAUUACUGGGCGUAAAGCGUGCGCAGGCGGCUUUGCAAGACAGAUGUGAAAUCCCCGGGCUCAACCUGGGAACUGCAUUUGUGACUGUAUAGCUAGAGUACGGUAGAGGGGGAUGGCAUUCCGCGUGUAGCAGUGAAAUGCGUAGAUAUGCGGAGGAACACCGAUGGCGAAGGCAAUCCCCUGGACCUGUACUGACGCUCAUGCACGAAAGCGUGGGGAGCAAACAGG